AUGCUCUCUAAAUUCCCCUAUGGCGACGAAUUGCUGCGUCAUGCUGCCGUAGCUGAUAUAAGCAGACGGCAAACAGCCAAAUUCUCCUCACUGACAUACUUCAUAGACAGGUUUCCCUGCUUCUUGGGAAAUGGUGUUACAGUGGAUGAAGUGGAGGAGGAGUUUCGGCUCUUUCAGUCCUCCACCUUGAAUGAUGGUUUUCUUACCAAACGGGCUGAUGAAGCUUGGAGAGAAUUAGGUGUGAUGGAAUCAGGAGGGAAGAAACUUUUUGCAAACCUCUCCACAGUUAUGCUUGGGGUGUGUGUGAUUUUUCACAGCAAUGCAGACUGUGAAAGGAUUUUCAGCUUGGUCACUAAAAACAAAACACAAUGUCGUGCUAGCCUGAGCACAGAGAUGCUUAGUCUCUUUGUAACAAAUGCUGCCUUUGGAGGCAAUCAUGACUUUUCUUGUCACCAGAGAACUAAGCAUCUCUGUGCUCAGGCUAGCACGACAUUGUGUUUUGUUUUUAGUGACCAAGCUGAAAAUCCUUUCACAGUCUGCAUUGCUGUGAAAAAUCACACACACCCCAAGCAUAACUGUGGAGAGGUUUGCAAUAUUUUUGUUAGUCUAACCAAUAGGAGGCGGAGUGAGCUAAUAAAUAGGCCUAAGUAGUAAUGUGUUAAAGAUGAGAGUAAGACCAGGUUACACUUAGCCUUCUGAAUUACACUGCGCAAACCAGAAGUAAUACUACCCACUGGAGGAAGAAGGGCUGGUUCUCCACAGAACAUAAAAUAUUCAUUUUAUUUUAUUUUUCGUGUUCGCAUUUAUGAGGAAAAAACAAUGUUAUGGACGUGACAGUUCUCAGUUACGGACGUGAGCGCUCUGAAAGCGGCACUAAAAGUUGCUUUACAACUUUCACAGAGACCUCAAAAAGAAAGCACAAAGCCUUUCUUUAAAGUGAAUUUCGUUUUGUAUAAAUUGUAUCUUAAUUUUAAUCAAUGUUUCAUCAAGCAAUUGCCUGGAUUUAAUAAAUAAGAAGUAAAUACAGAAGACAAGAGAUAAUCACGACACGGAGGCGCCAGCGCCUGAACUGGAGCUCGCCUCAUAAAUUAACCGAAACUCAGCGCCUACUUGACUCACAGACCUGUCUAUUUUUAAACAGAACAAUUCAAAACGAAAGAAAACAGACUGCUCUCUGCUUAUGUAACGUUAAUCCGUAUGAAAUGUGCAUUUCUCUGGCGCGUUCACUACUGCGAAGAUCGCGAGACAGCAUCGUCAACUUUAUCUUUGCAGUCGACACGACAUUGAUACAGAAAACACUUGUUUAUUAAUAAACAAUUAAAACUCUACUUUCUAUAUUUGACAUUAUUCAUAAUCAUUACUUUUGCCGGUUCUUUGUGACAGCUUUUAGGUGCGUUAUUCCGGCAGCUGUUGGUUGUAAGUCCUGUCUGCUGCCGUUUUGGUGUAGGCCCUGUCUGUUGGUGUGUGGAGCUUGGUCCGGUCUUGGACUUUCUCUGGUGGACUUUGGUCUUCAAAAAGCUGGAGGACAAAGUCUUUGAGACAGCAAGCUUACCCGAGGUAGGUGUGAGAGUUGAGGGCUUAGGGGCAGCUGGGCUCUUCAGAGAGGGAUGAGCUGAGGAUGUGAGAGGUUUAGCUGCCUUCUUCCCUGCUGCCUCUUCAGCAAAAAACAGAGUCAGAGGUUCCCACUGCUGGAGGAGUCGAUUGACACAUUUGCCAAGAGCCAGCCAUCUGGUCGAGGAUAAUUUCAAAAUCUUCCUCACAUCAGUGUCGCACAGCAUUUGUAGGUCACGCAGCAAAGCUUUCCUCUUGCUACUCUUGUCAAGGUAGUAGUAGAUCAAGAUGAGCAUGUCUUCAAUGUCAAUACAUAGACUUCUUGAAGCCUUUUCCGCAGCUAAAUGGAUUAGGUGGC
rnacentral:lncRNA from 1 species